GGAAGGAUCAUUAACACGUUCUACGUAUCAACCCUUCGUGCUCUUUGUUUUAUCAGUAACCUGUCAGAGGGGAAUUUUCUCAACUAGAGUUUAUGAUGGAUUGGAGCUUGGUGAGGUUCUUGUUUCGGUUAGAAAUAACUGAUCAAGGGCUUUAGGCAAUCUGUUAUUUAUUCGUUUUUUCUUUCUGUAAAAAGAGAGGAAAGGUUGGUCCCUUCGCUUUAUGGACAGGUGUUUACGUUUCUCUCUCACCUCUCGAGGCGAAAACAUAAUUAAUUUAAAAUUUAACCCCUUGUAACUUUAUUUACUGACUAAUUAUGUUCUGACUUGUGCUUAACGGCCGAGCUCAAACAUUUAUUACGAAAUGCUGAACAACUCUUAGCAACGGAUAUCUUGGUUCUCGUAACGAUGAAGAACGCAGCGAAAUGCGAUACGUAAUGCGAAUUGCAGAAUUCAGUGAAUCAUCAAAUCUUUGAACGCAAAUUGCGCUCUCGGGAUAGCCCUGGGAGCACACUUCUCUGAGUAUCGGUUUUAUAUCAACUCGACUGCGUGUCGGAUAUUGAGUGUCUCAAUGGAAACUUUGAGUCACUUUAAAACCGUUGAGUUUCUCUGCUUAUAGUACUUUGACUUUUCGUUUCUUUUCUUACCUCACAGUUUGAAAAGAAGCCCUUUGCUUCAAAUGCAUUGGGAUCGGGUCAUAAACUAUGAACGUGGAUAAUUUCACCCUUGUGUGAAUAUUCCAAUACGUUCAACCGGUUUGUGAUUCGGUGCCAGUGACUGAGGCAGCUACAGGGUAGAGAGGACUUUGGAAAUAUUAGAGUUUAACGAUCAAAUGUAUGUAAUAAAAGUUUAUCAUGAACUUUUUUCUUAAAUUAGAUCUCAGAUGAAGUGAGAAAACCCGCCGGAUUUAAGCAUAUUAUUAAGCGGAGGAAAAGAAACUAACAAGGAUUCCCUAGUAACGGCGAGUGAAGCGGGAAAAGCUCAACUUGAAAAUCGGUGUGCCCAACGGUACUCCGAGUUGUAGUCUAGAGACGUACUAUCAGCGUGUGACCCGGGUAUAAAUCUUUUGAAACAAGGUAUCAUAGAGGGUGAGAAUCCCGUCUUUGACCCGGAGUUCGCCGCGUACGAUGUGCGUUCGCAGAGUCGAGUUCUUUGGGAAUGGAGCUCAAAAUGGGUGGUAAAUUUCAUCUAAAGCUAAAUAUCGACGAGAGACCGAUAGCGAACAAGUACCGUGAGGGAAAGAUGAAAAGAACUUUGAAAAGAGAGUUAAAAAGUACUUGAAAUUGUUAAGAGGGAAGCACUGGAAACCAGUCGUACCCGAUGCUAUAUUUACUAUCUGCGGGCGAAGGAUUAGGUUUGCGAGAGGGAAACCCUCGUAGGCUUGGUCGGACGUUCGUGGGUGGGUCCUGUAGUAUUGGGUGGGUCAGAAUCAAUUCGUCUUGCCGGAGAAAACCUAGAGGAAGGUAGAAAUGCGGGGCAACCCAAGUUUCGUUAUAGCCUUUAGGCGAUACGGUGGGAUGGAUUGAGGAACGACAAUGCGCGCCUUUGGGCUCGGUCCCCCGUUUCCCUGCCUAGCGGGUCGCCUUGGACAGCAAAGCUGUGCGGGUGACGUAGUUGGGUACUGGUGCGGUUAGACUAGAUGCGUAAUUCGCGAUUCUGACGAAAUGGUUUUCAAUGACCCGUCUUGAAACACGGACCAAGGAGUCUAACAUAUAUGCGAGUAUUUGGGUGGCAAAACCCUUAUGCGCAAUGAAAGUGAAGGUUGCCUUGUGCAACUGAGGUAGGAAUCCUUGUUCUCUGAACGGGGAGGCACUAUCGACCGAUCAGUCACUUGUGAAAGAUUUGAGUAAGAGCAUAUCUGUUGGGACCCGAAAGAUGGUGAUCUAUGCCUGAACAGGGCGAAGCCAGGGGAAACCCUGGUGGAGGCUCGUAGCGAUACUGACGUGCAAAUCGUUCGUCUGAUUUGGGUAUAGGGGCGAAAGACUAAUCGAACCAUCUAGUAGCUGGUUCCCUC
rnacentral:misc_RNA from 1 species